rnacentral:rRNA from 1 species
CUCGUAGGCGGUUCAGUAAGUCGGGUGUGAAAACUUUGGGCUUAACCCAAAGCGUGCAUCCGAUACUGCUGUGACUUGAGUUCGGUAGGGGAGUGGGGAAUUCCUAGUGUAGCGGUGAAAUGCGCAGAUAUUAGGAGGAACACCGGUGGCGAAGGCGCCACUCUGGGCCGAAACUGACGCUGAGGAGCGAAAGCAUGGGUGCAAACA